rnacentral:pre_miRNA from 9 species
UCUCGAUAGCGUAAAAGUUAAGUCAAAUUUGUAUGGAGUUGAAAUGCUAGGGGCACUGUUCCAACUGCAUACAAAUUUGAGUUAACUUUUACGCUAUCGA